rnacentral:lncRNA from 1 species
AAAUUAGUACAAGUAUUUCACUCGUGACAUGUGAAGCCAAUUGAAUCCUUUGAUACCAGCCGGUUCAGUUUUAUCGGUUGUAAAUUGGUUUGGUUCAUUCGAACACAUGUUUAAUCUUUCAUUUAAUUAGAAUAUUAAUAUGAUUAGAUUCUCAAGAUUAAAUUAAAAUUAACGAUGUAAAAAUAAUUUUAAAAUACAUAUAAGAUAUGUAUAGUUAUAUUUAUAUUUUAUAUUAGAUAUAAAUUUUAAAUAUAAAAUUAAAAUUGAAUUAAAUUUUGUUCCUCAAUUAAUUUCAAGUAUUUUCGAUGUCUACCCAAUC